GCAGCCCGGGUAGCCGCGGGGGCGCGCCCGAAGCGCGGGCCCUCGAGGAAAGUCCGGACACCGUAGAGCAGGGUGCUGGAUAACGUCCAGCGGGGGAAACCCCAGGGAAAGCGCCACAGAAAUUACACAGCACGCCGGCAGGUCCGGUUGCGAAGGUGAAAUGGUGCGGUAAGAGCGCACCGGCGCCGUGGUGACACGGCGGCCAGGCAAGCCCCACCCGGUGCAAGGCCGAAUAGGGAGGCGCUCGAGGGUUGCUCGCCCGAUGCCUUCGGGUUGGCCGCAUGAGCCGUGCGGUAACGUACGGCCACAGAUAGAUGGCUACCGGCUCAAGCCACCGGAUCCGGCGGCUUGAGUUCACAGGAUCCGGCUUAUAGGGCUGCUACC
rnacentral:RNase_P_RNA from 1 species